GACGAACGCUGGCGGCGUGCCUAAUACAUGCAAGUAGAACGCUGAAGGAGGAGCUUGCUUCUCUGGAUGAGUUGCGAACGGGUGAGUAACGCGUAGGUAACCUGCCUGGUAGCGGGGGAUAACUAUUGGAAACGAUAGCUAAUACCGCAUAAGAGUAGAUGUCGCAUGACAUUUGCUUAAAAGGUGCAAUUGCAUCACUACCAGAUGGACCUGCGUUGUAUUAGCUAGUUGGUGAGGUAACGGCUCACCAAGGCAACGAUACAUAGCCGACCUGAGAGGGUGAUCGGCCACACUGGGACUGAGACACGGCCCAGACUCCUAUGGGAGGCAGCAGUAGGGAAUCUUCGGCAAUAGACGGAAGUCUGACCGAGCAACGCCGCGUGAGUGAAGAAGGUUUUCGGAUCGUAAAGCUCUGUUGUAAGAGAAGAACGAGUGUGAGAGUGGAAAGUUCACACUGUGACGGUAUCUUACCAGAAAGGGACGGCUAACUACGUG
rnacentral:rRNA from 1 species